GAUGAAGAACGCAGCGAAAUGCGAUAAGUAGUGUGAAUUGCAGAAUUCAGUGAAUCAUCGAAUCUUUGAACGCACAUUGCGCCCUUUGGUAUUCCAAAGGGCAUGCCUGUUCGAGCGUCAUUUGUACCCUCAAGCUUUGCUUGGUGUUGGGCGUCUUGUCUCUAGCUUUGCUGGAGACUCGCCUUAAAGUAAUUGGCAGCCGGCCUACUGGUUUCGGAGCGCAGCACAAGUCGCACUCUCUAUCAGCAAAGGUCUAGCAUCCAUUAAGCCUUUUUUUCAACUUUUGACCUCAGAUCAGGUAGGGAUACCCGCUGAACUUAAGCAUAUCAAUAAGCGGAGGA
rnacentral:misc_RNA from 1 species